AAACAGCCCCCUAUGUUUUGAUUCUUUGGCAGUUUUGGACCCCCAAGACAAAUAAAUAAAUAAAAAUUGACACGUGGCACCUCACUUAGGGUGCCACGUCAGCGUUGACCGAGUCAACAAUGGACUGGAGGUCCAAAACUGCCAAAGAAUCAAAACAUAGGGGGCUGUUU
rfam:Medicago truncatula strain A17 chromosome 7, whole genome shotgun sequence.